AACGAACGCUGGCGGCAUGCCUAACACAUGCAAGUCGAACGAGACCUUCGGGUCUAUUGGCGCACGGGUUCGUAACGCGUGGGAACCUUCCCUUAUGUUCGCCAUAACUCCCCGAAAGGGGUGCUAAUACCGGAUAAUGUCUUCUGACCAAAGAUUUAUCGCCUUUGGAUGGGCCCGCGUUGGAUUCGCUAGUUGGUAGGGUAAAAGCCUACCAAGGCGACGAUCCAUAGCUGGUCUGAGAGGAUGAUCAGCCACACUGGGACUGAGACACGGCACAGAAUCUUACGGGAGGGAGCAGUGGGGAAUAUUGGAAAAUGGGGGAAAGCAUGAUCCAGCACUGACGGGUGAGUGAUGAAGGCAUUAGGGUUGUAAAGUUCUUUUACCCGUGCUGAUAAUGACGGUACCGGGAGAAUAAGCCCCGGCUAACUACGUG
rnacentral:rRNA from 1 species